CGUAAAACAGUUCUUUAAACAC
rnacentral:tRNA from 1 species